GGCGUGCUUAACACAUGCAAGUCGAACGGAAAGGCCCCUGCUUGCAGGGGUACUCGAGUGGCGAACGGGUGAGUAACACGUGGGUGAUCUGCCMUGUACUUCGGGAUAAGCUUGGGAAACUGGGUCUAAUACCGGAUAGGACAACUUUUUGGAUAUUGUUGUGGAAAGCUUUUGCGGUAUGGGAUGAGCUCGCGGCCUAUCAGCUUGUUGGUGGGGUAAUGGCCUACCAAGGCGUCGACGGGUAGCCGGCCUGAGAGGGUGUACGGCCACAUUGGGACUGAGAUACGGCCCAGACUCCUACGGGAGGCAGCAGUGGGGAAUAUUGCACAAUGGGCGCAAGCCUGAUGCAGCGACGCCGCGUGGGGGAUGAAGGCCUUCGGGUUGUAAACUCCUUUCGCUAGGSACGAAGCAUUAU
rnacentral:rRNA from 1 species